rnacentral:rRNA from 1 species
GAUGAACGCUGGCGGCGUGCUUAACACAUGCAAGUCGAACGAGAAAUGGAGACGGACACCUUCGGGCGGAAGGCUUCAUUUCGAGUGGCGGACGGGUGAGUAACGCGUGGGUAACCUGCCUCAUACAGGGGGAUAACAGUUGGAAACGACUGUUAAUACCGCAUAAGACCACAGCACCGCAUGGUGCGGGGGUAAAAACUCCGGUGGUAUGAGAUGGACCCGCGUUCGAUUAGCCAGUUGGCGGGGUAACGGCCCACCAAAGCGACGAUCGAUAGCCGAUCUGAGAGGAUGACCGGCCACAUUGGGACUGAGACACGGCCCAAACUCCUACGGGAGGCAGCAGUGGGGAAUAUUGCACAAUGGGGGAAACCCUGAUGCAGCGACGCCGCGUGAGUGAAGAAGUACUUCGGUAUGUAAAGCCCUAUCAGCAGGGAAGAAAAUGACGGUACCUGGGUAAGAAGCCCCGGCUAACUACGUG